UUUCAGGCUUUUUUGAUAUUUGGAUGGCUGAAAACAAUUUCCUACCGUAAAAUAUUUUACAAAACACGGAAAAAUAAAGUGUUUUUUUAGGAAAAUAUCUUACCCUUUUGAAAUCGGUAAGACAUUUUCCUGAAAAUGAAGCUUCUUCUCCCCCUCCCCCUUCCCCUUGGGUUGCAAAUCAGUGCCAUUGACAAUAGUUUGGUCAAGGACCUUUUCCGGUUCCUCCUUCAUCCAGGAUUUGGCAUUUGAUCUGUCCAUUUCUGCUCUUUUGGGAGAUAACAUCUACAACUUUGGAGAACUCCUUGCUCAUCCAAUUGCUUCUUUGGCGUUUACAAGUCUGGUCAUUGCAGCUGUUGGAUAAUUGGAUGGGCAAAGUACAUAACGCUUGGUUAUCAAUUGAGGCUGAAACACCUGAUCUAGUUGCAUCAUGAAUUUUUUUCUCCGGUUCCUUUCUGCCAUUGUAACAAUUUCGGUAUUUGAAAAGGGCAAGAAGAAGGGAAAGUGAAAUGACGAGCAAUGAGGAUAGAGAUAAGUGUUAGUCAUUUGCGGGUAGAGCCAUCUUUGUAUGAUUCCUUUAGUAGGUAUUGCUUGAUCCUUAAAUCUUUGUUCUGAAAGGAGCGGCUCAUGUACUAAACUUUUCACUUUUUGGCAUUUGUUGGAUCUACAAUGGCACUGGAAUGCCUGAGGAUACGGUUAAAACUGCAAACAUCAUCCUUAUCUUUCAUUUUGUAUUGGGAUUUUUAUGAUCCACUUUUAUGUGGAUGAAAGUGCAUUUUCAUUUCAGAUUAGAUAUUUUUCUGCAUAA